rnacentral:lncRNA from 1 species
AGUAUUUGGGUGCUGCACACACAUUUGGUGUGAAAGAUGAUGAGCCUUUUUGGUCACUGAGUUCUGUUCUCUAACACAGCCAGUGCAGAAAACAAUACAGCCAAGCAGGGAAACCACACCAAAAUUGGCUAUCCAAGGGUGCACAGAUCCAGUGGAAGGAUGGGAAACUGUUUACCAGAAAUGAGGUGGAAAGUGUACCGCCCCAUCAGAAGAAAAAGAUACUCACACAAACAAAGGCAACUGAAUCCAAAACAUCCAUGUGUCAGAAAGACAAGCUGUCCAUCACAUUCCUGCUGAAGAGACAAAAGCCAGUAAUCAGGGUAUUUGCUUGGGAUGCAAAAAAACAUCAGUUUAAGCCUAUGUACGAAAUAAAUGUAUGUACAUG